UCCCUUUUCUCUCAUGUGAUUCCUGUUCCCGACCUCCAUGUCCAGGGCUUACUUUCUGGAUGGAUCAUUGCUCAAAGAAACAGGAACUCUGGAAUCUCAGCUGGAAGCAAAUAAAAGAAAACAGAAGGAGAUCCAGGCGAUGAAGCGUCAACUAACCAAGAUUGUGGACCUGGGGGACAACUUGGAAGACGCUCUGAUCCUUGAUAUCAAAUACAGCACCAUUGGAUUGGCUCAGCAGUGGGACCAGCUCUACCAGCUUGGGUUGCGGAUGCAACACAACCUGGAGCAACAGAUCCAGGCCAAGUAUUGAGGGCAUGUGGCCAGAGCAGGGAGGGGUGCAGGUGGUGUUAGGUGUUAGGACCUUAACUAAGGGCGAGAGUUUGGUGCACCAGAUAAAAGAGUUGCUUCAGAGAACCAAUAUUCUGGGUCUUUACUGCCCCAUGGAAUGACUAUUUCUCUUUAUACUGAAAUCCAUCAUGAAAUAAAAGACAGUGCUCUCCAUCCACCUGAGCCUACUCAUCACCCACUUGGACAACAACUGACUUUUAUACCCAAUUUCUCAGAGUUCUUUCACCAUCUUAUGUGAUCUCUUAGGAAACCAUUCCCUUUCAUAGAAUUUUAUCUAAAAUAUAAUGUCUAGAAUAAAAGAAACAUUUAAAGUGUGGCCAAAUAGAGCAGAAGGGCAGAAACUCAUUUUCUAGAUAAAUUGACUAUAUCAAAGCAGCUCUAGGUCUCAAUAGCAUUUUGGCAACAUUUUUAUCUAGAUUAGGA
rnacentral:sRNA from 1 species